CAUGGCUCAGGAUGAACGCUAGCGGCAGGCCUAACACAUGCAAGUCGAGGGAGAAGCCCUUUCGGGGUCGGAAACCGGCGCACGGGUGCGUAGCGCGUAUGCAACCUACCUUUCACAGGGGGAUAGCCCGAAGAAAUUUGGAUUAAUACACCAUAAUAUUGUUGGAUGGCAUCAUUUGGCAAUUAAAACUGAGGUGGUGAAAGAUGGGCAUGCAUCCUAUUAGCUAGUUGGAGUGGUAACGGCACCCCAAGGCUACGAUAGGUAGGGGUCCUGAGAGGGAGAUCACCCACACUGGUACUGAGACAGGGACCAGACUCCUACGG
rnacentral:rRNA from 1 species